AAAAAGUUUUAAAAAUUAGCAAAUCAAUUUUAAAAAAAUUAACAAACUUUAUUUGAUCUAUAGAGAAAAUAUAAAUUUAUUUUUAAUGUAGUUACUUUAUAUGAAUUACUUUCAUAUGACUACAUAGUAAAAUUUUAUAAAUUUAAAUACUCUGGUUAUUAUUAGUUCUCUAAAUAAUCAAAUCAAAAUAAUAAACAAUUCAAGAUAUAAUUAGAAAAAGUGCAUGUUAAAUAAAAUGAUAAAACUAUUUUGAAAAUAAAUAAAGUCGUUUUAGAGUUAAAAAAAAAUAUUUUUUAAGUUUAUCUUAGAAAGAGAAAAAGCAUAAUAUAAGAUGAAGAGUGAGUUUCUUCUGAUAUCUUUUGAAAGCUAGUUGACCCCCGCAGGUUGCAAUUCCCCUUCUGUGACAGUGAUUAGUUUCGGGUUACUUAACACACGCACCCCCACAAAAAAUGUAGGGGAGACAGUGAAACGGGUUUUGGAGGUGCAAUAUAUUUCGUCCCUUUUCGAACCUAUCCUUACUGAAGGUUAGAAUUGAAAUGAAAAGGCCUCUUUAGGUAUUCUUUGGCCAAGAUAUAUACAUAUAUAUAUAUACAUAUAAUAUGAGGUGAGAAAAAAAGACAGUUGUUAAAACAUUUAUUUAAAAUAUACCAAAAUAAUAAAUUGGAACAGCAAAGUUUGUUAAAUUGAAUCAUGCCUUUCUGGACAGUUUUUGGUAUUCCAUAGAAUUCCAAAAACUGGCAUAUUUUAUAACUUAGAUCAUACUUUUUUUAACUUUACUGAUAACAAAUAUGAUUGCAAAUUAAGAGGGUAGAAAAAUUAUCUUUUUGUAAUAUUUUGAUGAAAUAUAUUUUUUUCUCUAAAGAAAAUUUUAUAUAUUUUUAGUCGACGUGUGCUAAUCCUAUGGAUGGUGUUACAUGUAAAAAAAUGACAGACAUGAAUGAAUGCUUUCUGGAUAUAGUGAACAGAAUUCAUGCUGAAGGAAAAUGCUGAUGACUCAAAUACUAUCAUCGAACAUAAAUAUUGUUCAAUAAUGCAAACCUGGAAUUUUUACAGUACCACCUUUAAAAUAUUUCACAAUCGGUUACUUUUGGGAAAAAAAUAAAAUUUUAAAAAAUUUAA